ensembl:lncRNA
AGAAGCUUCUGUUUUAUUGAAGAACAACCGUUGUCUCCAUUGAACAUCAUGGUGUUUUAUGAUUGACUGAUAGAGGGGAUCUUUCAGAGUGACACUGAUGUCUGUUGAUUGGAUAGCAGGUAGUUGUUUUAUGAUUGACUGAUAGAGGGGAUCUUUCAGAGUGAGACUGAUGUCUUUUGGUUGGAUAGUAGUUUGUUCAAUGUCAGCUUGGUUGUCUAUUGGUUAUUUCUUGGCUGGUCAAACGUUGGUUGGCUGAAUGUUGGGUCUAGUUGGUUGGUCAUUGGCCUGAUGGCUGAAUGUCAGGUUUGUUGAACAUUGAUCCUUGUUGAUAGCCUGUUAGUUCUCAUUAGGUUUUAUUUUGGUUGGUUUUUGGUUUGUUAGACUGGUUCCUAG